GAUUAACGCUGGCGGCGUGCAUAACACAUGCAAGUCGAACGAUGAAACUCAUUAGAUUUCUUCGGAAUGAAAAUGAGUGGAUUAGUGGCGAACGGGUGAGUAACGCGUGAGUAACCUGCCUUACACAAGGGGAUAGCCUCUGGAAACGGAGAAUAAUACCCUAUGAAACCAGACAAUCGCAUGAUAAUCUGGUCAAAAUGUUUAGUGGUGUAAGAUGGACUUGCGUCUGAUUAGCUAGUUGGUGAGAUAAAAGCUCACCAAGGCAACGAUCAGUAGCCGGCUUGAGAGAGUGUACGGCCACAUUGGGACUGAGACACGGCCCAGACUCCUACGGGAGGCAGCAGUGGGGAAUUUUGCACAAUGGGGGAAACCCUGAUGCAGCGACGCCGCGUGAUUUAGAAGGCCUUCGGGUUGUAAAAAUCUUUUGUAUAGGAAGAAAAUGACAGUACUAUACGAAUAAGGUCCGGCUAAUUACGUG
rnacentral:rRNA from 1 species